rnacentral:rRNA from 1 species
AUUGAACGCUGGCGGCAUGCCUUACACAUGCAAGUCGAACGGCAGCACGGACUUCGGUCUGGUGGCGAGUGGCGAACGGGUGAGUAAAGCAUCGGAACGUGCCCGGUAGUGCGGGAUAGCUCGGCGAAAGCCGGAUUAAUACCGCAUGAGAUCUACGGAUGAAAGCAGGGGAUCUGCAAGGACCUUGCGCUACUGGAGCGGCCGAUGUCAGAUUAGGUAGUUGGUGGGGUAAAGGCUCACCAAGCCUGCGAUCUGUAGCUGGUCUGAGAGGAUGAUCAGCCACAUCGGGACUGAGACACGGCCCGAACUCCUACGGGAGGCAGCAGUGGGGAAUUUUGGACAAUGGGCGCAAGCCUGAUCCAGCCAUGCCGCGUGCAGGAUGAAGGCCCUCGGGUUGUAAACUGCUUUUGUACGGAACGAAAAGGCGCCUUCUAAUAAAGGGUGCACAUGACGGUACCGUAAGAAUAAGCACCGGCUAACUACGUG